rnacentral:lncRNA from 1 species
UGAGAUCUCUUCAAACCCUUAAUCUUUCUGGUUGCUCAAACCUUGAGAAGUUUCCUGAGAUUUCAGAUGUUAUGGAGAAGUUAUCAGAGUUAUAUUUAGGUGGGACUGCAAUUAAAGAACUGUCUUCAUCAAUUAAUAAACUCACGGGCCUUGCUACUUUGGACCUACGAGGCUGUCGAGAACUCAAGAGCCUGCCGAGCAGCAUUCAUAUGGGAUCUCUUCAAACCCUUAAUCUUUCUGGUUGCUCAAACCUUGGGAAGUUUACAGAAAUUUCAGAUGUUAUGGAGAAGCUAUCAGAGUUAUAUUUAGCUGGGACUGCAAUUAAAGAACUGUCUUCGUCAAUUAAUAAACUCACGGGCCUUACUGUUUUGGACCUAUCUGGGUGUCAAGAACUCAAGAGCCUGCCGAGCAGCAUUCAUAUGAGAUCUCUUCAAACCCUUAAUCUUUCUGGUUGCUCAAACCUUGAGAAGUUUCCAGAGAUUUCAGAUGUUAUGGAGAAGCUAUCAGAGUUAUAUUUAGAUGGGACUGCAAUUAAAGAACUGCCUUCGUCAAUUAAUAAACUCACGGGCCUUACUGUUUUGGACCUAUAUGGGUGUCAAGAACUCAAGAGCUUGCCGAGCAGCAUUCGUGUGGGAUCUCUUCAUACCCUUUUUCUUUCAGGCUGCUCAAAACUUGAGAAGUUUCAUGAGAUUUCAGAUGUUGUGGAGGAGCUAUCAGAGCUUCAUUUAGAUGGGACUGCAAUUAAAGAAUUGCCUUCGUCAAUUAAUAAACUCACAGGUCUUCUUACUUUGGACCUACGAGGCUGUUCGAGAACUCAAGAGCCUGCCGAGCAGCAUUCAUAUGGGAUCUCUUCAAACUCUUAAUCUUUCUGGUUGCUCAAACCUUGAGAAGUUUACAGAGAUUUCAGAUGUUAUGGAGAAGCUAUCAGAGUUAUAUUUAGCUGGGACUGCAAUUAAAGAACUGUCUUCGUCAAUUAAUAAACUCACGGGCCUUAUUACUUUGGACCUGAAAGGUUGUCGAGAACUCAAGAGCCUGCCGAGCAGCUUUCAUAUGGGAUCUCUUCAAACCCUUAAUCUUUCUGGUUGCUCAAACCUUGAGAAGUUUCCAGAGAUUUCAGAUGUUAUGGAGAAGCUAUCAGAGUUAUAUUUAGAUGGGACUGCAAUUAAAGAACUGCCUUCGUCAAUUAAUAAAACUCACGGGCCUUACUGUUUUGGACUUAUAUGGGUGUCAAGAACUCAAGAGCUUGCCGAGCAGCAUUCGUAUGGGAUCUCUUCAUACCCUUUUUCUUUCAGGCUGCUCAAAACUUGAGAAGUUUCCAGAGAUUUCAGAUGUUAUGGAGAAGCUAUCAAAGCUUUAUUUAGAUGGGACUGCAAUUAAAGAACUGCCUUCGUCAAUU